AGUGAACGCUGGCGGCGUGCCUAAUACAUGCAAGUCGAACGGACAAGUAAGAGCUUGCUCUUAUGAGUUAGUGGCGCACGGGUGAGUAAUGUAUAGCUAAUCUGCCCUACACUAGAGGACAACAGUUGGAAACGGCUGCUAAUACUCUAUACUCCUGUCUUACAUAAGUUAGAUAGGGAAAGUUUUUCGGUGUAGGAUGAGGCUAUAUUGUAUCAGCUAGUUGGUGAGGUAAUGGCUCACCAAGGCUAUGACGCAUAACUGGUCUGAGAGGAUGAUCAGUCACACUGGAACUGAGACACGGUCCAGACUCCUACGGGAGGCAGCAGUAGGGAAUAUUGCUCAAUGGGGGAAACCCUGAAGCAGCAACGCCGCGUGGAGGAUGACACUUUUCGGAGCGUAAACUCCUUUUGUUAGGGAAGAAUAANGACG
rnacentral:rRNA from 1 species